rnacentral:sRNA from 1 species
UGUAAGUCAGGUUGAAAUAAUGUUACAGGAAGAAAUUGGAGAUCCAUUUUGUCUUUGUUACCAGAUCUAUAUCCCUGGCCCUUUAUAUCCUGUGUAGCACCAUUUUGUAGGUAGUGGAAGGUCUCAUCUUAUUCUAUAAAAUCCCAUGUCAUCUUUCCCAAGUUGUAGUGGGUUCCAACUUGUGGUUGUCCCCUCAAGUGAUUCUUUUUUCCUAAAAGUAAAAAUCUCCCAUGCUACUUACAUCUCCACCUCGAGUUUCUAAAAUAUUUUCAAAUGCUGCAUCACCAUGAAGGCAUUCAAUAGACUUCACUAAAUCUCAAGUAAGUUGGUUAGAUUUAACAGAGCUAAGCCUCAUCCAUCACUGAUCAGUCUUCACGUAUAAAAGUAAGGAUUUGUGCUGGCUUCAGUGGUACAUAUAGUAAAAUUAAGACAACGUUGAGAAGAUCAGCAUGGUCCCCGCACAAGGAUGACAUAGAAAUCUGUAAGGUGUUGCAUAUUUCUUGCAGUCCCCAAAAGGACACUUUACUACUUUCUAACUAGCUCCAAGGAAAUGGUCAUUCAUCAACAACUUUUGGAAUAUAAACAAAAGAUAUCUAAAAAUUCUCGAAAUAGUAAUCCAGAAGGAACAUGUGAAGGAACACCUGAUGAGGCUGCACCCUUGGCGGAAAGAACACCUGACACGGCUGAAAGCUUGGUGGAAAGAAUACCUGACGAAUAGGAUACAGUGAAUUCUUCUUCAAAGAUUUUAGCCUGUAAACAUCCUUUAAAAUUCAAGAGGGGGAAGAUUAAGUACAAUGAGUUCUGAGUUCCUCAUCAAAGAACAAAUAUAUCAGUAUGUUCAGCUUCUCUGUUCUUUGUUCUCCGUUUUAAAGUUUAACUUCCUCGUUCGUUAUGCCUCCUUGCCCCUAGUUUCAUUAAACAACCCCCUUCUAGCCUCUAACACCUGCUUUGUCUUUAGUCAUUCUUAGUAACCUGCUCUGUCCUUAGUCAUCCUUAGACAUCUGCUCUGUAACUGUCUUUCCCGCUGAAACUACUCACCCUGCCACUCCAGCUCAUACCCCUGCCCUCUUUGAAAUAGCCAAUCUGAAUUGGCUUAGAGUGUGCAGUCCAACCCUAUCCAAUAGGGAAAAGACACAACAGUAGGGACUAGCUGCGUUAGAAAUAAGAACACUUUCCCUUCCCUUGUCCAAUGUGAUCUUGCCUUUGCUCCAUCUGCAAGACCACUCUUCCAUAGAAGUAAAUUUGCCUUGCUGUAAAAA